rnacentral:rRNA from 1 species
GAUGAACGCUAGCGGCAGGCUUAACACAUGCAAGUCGAACGGCAGCACAGGUAGCAAUACUGGGUGGCGAGUGGCGCACGGGUGCGUAACGCGUAUGCAACCUACCUCUAUCUGGGAGAUAGCCCGAAGAAAUUCGGAUUAAUACCCCAUAAUAUAUGUCUUUCGCAUGUUAGACAUAUUAAAGCUUUGGCGGAUAGAGAUGGGCAUGCGUGACAUUAGCUAGUUGGUAAGGUAACGGCUUACCAAGGCUACGAUGUCUAGGGGGUCUGAGAGGAUUAUCCCCCACACUGGUACUGAGACACGGACCAGACUCCUACGGGAGGCAGCAGUGAGGAAUAUUGGACAAUGGGCGAAAGCCUGAUCCAGCCAUGCCGCGUGCAGGAAGACGGCCCUAUGGGUUGUAAACUGCUUUUAUAUGGGAAUAAACCUCCGAACGUGUUCGGAGCUGAAGGUACCAUACGAAUAAGGAUCGGCUAACUCGUG